CAGCAGCCGCGGUAAUACGUAGGUGGCAAGCGUUGUCCGGAAUUAUUGGGCGCGAAGCGCGCGCAGGUGGUUUAAUAAGUCUGAUGUGAAAGCCCACGGCUCAACCGUGGAGGGUCAUUGGAAACUGUUAAACUUGAGUGCAGGAGAGAAAAGUGGAAUUCCUAGUGUAGCGGUGAAAUGCGUAGAGAUUAGGAGGAACACCAGUGGCGAAGGCGGCUUCUUGGCCUGUAACUGACACUGAGGCGCGAGAGCGUGGGGAGCAAACAGGAUUAGAUACCCGCGUAGUCCCUGUCUCUUAUAC
rnacentral:rRNA from 1 species